CCAGGUAAAUCCGGUACCUUUUAACGCUGAGGUGUGAUGACGAGGCACUACGGUGCUGAAGUAACAAAUGCCCUGCUUCCAGGAAAAGCCUCUAAGCAUCAGGUAACAUUAAAUCGUACCCCAAACCGACACAGGUGGUCAGGUAGAGAAUACCAAGGCGCUUGAGAGAACUCGGGUGAAGGAACUAGGCAAAAUGGUGCCGUAACUUCGGGAGAAGGCACGCUGAUAUGUAGGUGAAGCCCCUGCGGGUGGAGCUGAAAUCAGUCGAAGAUACCAGCUGGCUGCAACUGUUUAUUAAAAACACAGCACUGUGCAAACACGAAAGUGGACGUAUACGGUGUGACGCCUGCCCGGUGCCGGAAGGUUAAUUGAUGGGGUUAUCCGUAAGGAGAAGCUCUUGAUCGAAGCCCCGGUAAACGGCGGCCGUAACUAUAACGGUCCUAAGGUAGCGAAAUUCCUUGUCGGGUAAGUUCCGACCUGCACGAAUGGCGUAAUGAUGGCCAGGCUGUCUCCACCCGAGACUCAGUGAAAUUGAACUCGCUGUGAAGAUGCAGUGUACCCGCGGCAAGACGGAAAGACCCCGUGAACCUUUACUAUAGCUUGACACUGAACAUUGAGCCUUGAUGUGUAGGAUAGGUGGGAGGCUUUGAAGCGUGGACGCCAGUCUGCGUGGAGCCAACCUUGAAAUACCACCCUUUAAUGUUUGAUGUUCUAACGUUGGCCCCUAAUCGGGGUUGCGGACAGUGUCUGGUGGGUAGUUUGACUGGGGCGGUCUCCUCCCAAAGAGUAACGGAGGAGCACGAAGGUUAGCUAAUCCUGGUCGGACAUCAGGAGGUUAGUGCAAUGGCAUAAGCUAGCUUGACUGCGAGCGUGACGGCGCGAGCAGGUGCGAAAGCAGGUCAUAGUGAUCCGGUGGUUCUGAAUGGAAGGGCCAUCGCUCAACGGAUAAAAGGUACUCCGGGGAUAACAGGCUGAUACCGCCCAAGAGUUCAUAUCGACGGCGGUGUUUGGCACCUCGAUGUCGGCUCAUCACAUCCUGGGGCUGAAGUAGGUCCCAAGGGUAUGGCUGUUCGCCAUUUAAAGUGGUACGCGAGCUGGGUUUAGAACGUCGUGAGACAGUUCGGUCCCUAUCUGCCGUGGGCGCUGGAGAAUUGAGGGGGGCUGCUCCUAGUACGAGAGGACCGGAGUGGACGCAUCACUGGUGUUCGGGUUGUCAUGCCAAUGGCAUUGCCCGGUAGCUAAAUGCGGAAGAGAUAAGUGCUGAAAGCAUCUAAGCACGAAACUUGCCCCGAGAUGAGUUCUCCCUGAGACUUUAAGUCUCCUGAAGGAACGUUAAAGACGAUGACGUUGAUAGGUCGGGUGUGUAAGCGUAGCGAUACGUUGAGCUAACCGAUACUAAUGAACCGUGAGGCUUAACCUU
rnacentral:rRNA from 1 species